UGCCCCCACCUCUUUCCUCUCUUGAACAAAAACCCAUUCUCUCUCCAGCCAUGGCAGAAGCUUGCCUUCCCAAUUUGGAGUAAGCUUCUUAUCUCUCUUACUUUUAUCUAUUCAAGAAUUGGUCAACACAAGGGGCCAAAGUACUUUUAGAUUUUGAUUUUCUAUGGCAGAGACUUAAUUUUCAAACGGCUCUUUUGAAGACCAAAAUCCCAACCCGUGACUCCUCUGAUUUUGGAUUUGAAUUUCAAAUCAAAACCCUAGUUGUUUCACCUAUAAAUAUACCUCUAUAAGUCUCAUCCGUAUCCAUCUGGGAAUUCCAAAAACAAAACUCAGUUCAUAUCAUACUCUGCUUUUCUUUAAAAUCUCAAGCUUUACAAUCUGUGGAAAACCUUUUAGUCUCCAUUUUUACAUUCUCGACAACUAAAGAGUGGUAGGUCUGAGCCCUCAAAGUCCCAGUUUCACUGCCCAACAAGAGGUAAAAUCUGAUCUAUCUUAUUUUAGUCUUUCGCUUAAAGACAUUGUGUUCCUUUGAAAAAUCAUGUAUUAGGUUCUCUGCUUUAUUAGUUGUAUUAAAGAAUGCGUUAGUGAUAUUUCGAUACUGGCGUGAUAUGAGAAAAUUCAUGUUUACAGUCUGUUUUAUUCGGAUAUGUCUAGUUAAAAUUUCAUGACUAAAUCAGUCAAAUGUUACCUGUUAAUCGUGAUGAUCUUUUGUGCUUUACCCACUUGAGUACUAUUUAAACUUUCUGUUAAAACAUUGUUGUAAUGAAAGGAUAGCCCUAGAAAUGUUUAAACAUCAUGUGUACAGUAUUCAAAAUGCCUAUUUUUUUUUUUUAUAGAAUGAGUUGACAGAAAUGUCGUUUGAGAACCUGAUUAACCAUAUGCUUUCAUACUCGCAUGAACACCGGAGCCGAAGAGUCUCACUUUGAGACUCAACGACGCCAUAACACUGCAAGGAGACUGCACAUCCCCGAGUCCCUUUUCCAGCUUUUACCGUGUUUAGACAUCAAAAAAUGCCGAAGAUAAAAUCUUCCGUGGGGCUUGGACAUGGCUUCAGAUCGCUUCACUUAUCUUACUUACCUGCUAUUCUGACUAACUUAUAUUUCAGUUAUAUGUGUUUACUCUUGAACGUAUAAUUGUUACAUAAUGAUUGAACUGUAAUUAACCAUUUAGAGUCUUCGCUUUAUGAUAUCUAGUUCUAGGACCAAUAACUUAAUGAUUUCUCACGUAUCAAUAUUCUUAGGAUAAUG
rnacentral:lncRNA from 1 species